GAAGAACCUUACCCGGGUUUGACAUGCCAGUGGUAGGAAAGCGAAAGCGGCCUGGCCCUUCGGGGAGCUGGCACAGGUGCUGCAUGGCUGUUGUCAGCUUGUGUUGUGAGAUGUUUGGUUAAGUUCCGCAACGAGCGCAACCCUCGUGGUUAGUUACAAGUGUCUACCCAGACUGCCGGUAUUAAACCGGAGGAAGGUGGGGAUGAAGUCAAGUCAGCAUGGCCUUUAUAUCUUGGGCA
rnacentral:rRNA from 1 species